rfam:Triticum aestivum genome assembly, contig: Triticum_aestivum_CS42_TGACv1_scaffold_307968_4AS
CAAAUACUCCCUCCAUCCGGAAAUACUUGUCAUCAAAAUGGAUAAAAGGAGAUGUAUCUAGACGUAUUUUAAUUUUAGAUACAUCUUUUUUCAUCCAUUUUAAUGACAAGUAUUUUCGGGCGGAGGGAGUACAAC